GUAUACAUUAUAUAGUAUUUAUUACAGUCUUUUCAAAAACUACUGAAGUUAAUCGCCCAGCUAUAAAUUAAUCGGAUUACAGGGUGUUCCACAGAAAUUAUUAGUAAUUUUCGAUAAAUUGAGACAGUUGCUUUUUGUAUACUAAUAUUUUUAUUUUACAACAAAAUAUAAAAUAAUAGACGCACAAUUUCAGAUCAAUCGAUGUUCUAUGAGUAUCCUAAAAUGUAACCAAAAAACACCCCCAGAAAAUAGAUGCAGCCAAUGGGACACUCUGUUGUAUCAUGCGACCAAUAGCAGGCUGUGGUGAAAAUAGUUCAUGGUGAAAAUAGUACAAGUUCAACAAAGCGGUCAUGCAGACACAACAAUUUACCACAUUGCCCUCUACACUUGUACCAAAUUUGUAUAUGUAUAGUAUAUUAAAAAGAAGGUCGAAAUGUGGCUCUGCUCAAGCCGCAGAGCUCUAAGUUUCGCAGACAAAAUAAAAUUAAAAGCAAAUUGGCGUAAAACAUAUUUAAUUAUAAGUACUUAUGAAAAUUGUAUGUAUCAUUCAUUCUCAAUCCGUGUAUAUUUCUAUUAC